AAGAGGUCCAAUCGAUGGACCUUGUACACUGAAAAAACUCCAAAGACAUACAGUUACAUUCCCAAUCUGCAGAGGCAUAUACUAGAAAAGAGGGUGUCAUCAGAAGGAGGUCUCCCAAAAGUCAUGAAGCAAACUUCUCCCUGUCCUUCCACCACCAUCGACCCAAGACCUUGUUCAGGCCCAUGUGAGCAGAGGUCAUGGACCUGUCUUGCAGCAGAGUCCAACAGCUGUUGAUUAGAUGGAAUCACAGACAUCAAGGUGUUGCAGAGAGGGCCCAGCUGUGAGAACACACCACACCACAAAGAUGCCUGUACAAUCUCUCAGGGUUACUCCUUUUAAGAUGGUCUCCCAAUUUGUUAUUACAUGCCCUUCAUUAAUUACAACU